AUUGAACGCUGGCGGCAUGCCUUACACAUGCAAGCCGGACGGCAGCAUGGGUGCUUGCACCUGAUGGCGAGUGGCGAACGGGUGAGUAAUGCAUCGGAACGUACCCGGAAGUGGGGGAUAACGUAGCGAAAGUUACGCUAAUACCGCAUAUUUCGUGAGCAGGAAAGAGGGGGAUUGCAAGACCUCUCGCUUUCGGAGCGGCCUGUGUCGGAAUAGCUAGUUGGCGGGGUAAAGGCCCACCAAGGCAACGAUCCGUAGCGGGGCUGAGAGGAUGAUCCGCCACACUGGGACUGAGACACGGCCCAGACUCCUACGGGAGGCAGCAGUGGGGAAUUUUGGACAAUGGGGGCAACCCUGAUCCAGCCAUGCCGCGUGAGUGAAGAAGGCCUUCGGGUUGUAAAGCUCUUUCGGCUGGGAAGAAAUCGCAUCUCCUAAUACGGGGUGUGGAUGACGGUACCAGCAUAAGAAGCACCGGCUAACUACGUGCCAGCCGCCGCAGUAA
rnacentral:rRNA from 1 species